UCAGGCAUUCUGUCCAGUGUUCACCUGUGU
rnacentral:piRNA from 1 species